AAUACAUGCAAGUCGAGCGAGCUGAAUUCAAAGAUCCUUCGGGGUGAUUGUUGGAUGCUAGCGGCGGAUGGUGAGUAACACGUGGCAAUCUGCCCUAAAGACUGGGAUACCACUUGGAAACAGGUGCUAAUACCGGAUAACAACAUGAAUCGCAUGAUUCAAGUUUGAAAGGCGGCGUAAGCUGUCACUUUAGGAUGAGCCCGCGGCGCAUUAGCUAGUUGGUGGGGUAAAGGCCUACCAAGGCAAUGAUGCGUAGCCGAGUUGAGAGACUGAUCGGCCACAUUGGGACUGAGACACGGCCCAAACUCCUGCGGGAGGCAGCAGUAGGGAAUCUUCCACAAUGGACGCAAGUCUGAUGGAGCAACGCCGCGUGAGUGAAGAAGGUUUUCGGAUCGUAAAGCUCUGUUGUUGGUGAAGAAGGAUAGAGGCAGUAACUGGUCUUUAUUUGACGGUAAUCAACCAGAAAGUCACGGCUAACUACGUG
rnacentral:rRNA from 1 species